AUUGAACGCUGGCGGCAGGCUUAACACAUGCAAGUCGAGCGGAGCGAGGGUGCUUGCACCUUAGCUUAGCGGCGGACGGGUGAGUAAUGCUUAGGAAUCUGCCUAUUAGUGGGGGACAACAUUCCGAAAGGAAUGCUAAUACCGCAUACGCCCUACGGGGGAAAGCAGGGGAUCUUCGGACCUUGCGCUAAUAGAUGAGCCUAAGUCGGAUUAGCUAGUUGGUGGGGUAAAGGCCUACCAAGGCGACGAUCUGUAGCGGGGCUGAGAGGAUGAUCCGCCACACUGGGGCUGGGGCACGGCCCAGAAUCCUACGGGAGGCAGCAGUGGGGAAUAUUGGACAAUGGGCGGAAGCCUGAUCCAGCCAUGCCGGGUGUGUGAAGAAGGCCUUUUGGUUGUAAAGCACUUUAAGCGAGGAGGAGGCUACUUAGAUUAAUACUCUGGGAUAGUGGACGUUACUCGCAGAAUAAGCACCGGCUAACUCUGUGCCAGCAGCCGCCGUAA
rnacentral:rRNA from 1 species